GAAGUAACGCGGACUGAUGACCCAGUUUGUAGUUGUAUCCAAUAUCCGGAAAAGGCUGCUAUUUUGCGUUGAUUUUAGAGAGAGAGAUGACUCAGAUCUCGUUGCGGUUUCUGUUAUUAUUAUCCUUAAUCUCUGCACAAUUCUUCUCUGGGUUUUCAGACGAUUCAAAUUCCAAAAAUGGGACAAAGGUUGAUGCCCAUUCUUCAAGUAGCAGAACUGGAUCAAUAAUACUCAUAAUUUGCAUUGCACUUGUGGCAGUUGUGGGUUUGUCAUUUUUCCUUUUCAGGUUAUGGCAAAAGAAGAAACGUGAUGAACAAUAUGCUCGUCUUUUAAAGCUGUUUGAACAAGAUGAUGAGCUUGAGCUUGAACUUGGUCUUCGUGAUUGAGUUAGUUCAAUCAAGGUGUAAAUGAUGAGGAUCCUGAAUGAGCAAAACCACAAGAGAUGAGGGUCUGAAGUUGUGAUUAGAAUUUGUAUAAUUUUUACCCAACAACAACACAUGACAAAAAGGUCUAGUCAUUUUUUAUUUCUCAUCCUAUCCUGUCUAUUAUGUUUUUAUAGGGAAAGAGGCUUACUUGUAAUAUAUUGCACAUACAUCCUUUGCUGCUGCUUCUUUUAAUUUCAGAAUGAACAAUUCCACCUCAUUUGCAUUG